CUUAGGGACACUGGAUUUUGUGGAUGCUCCUUGGACACACUGGAAUGCACCUUGGGCAGCCCGUGGAUCAUUUUCCCCAGUAUGAAGCAUGGGAGGAGCUGGAAAAUGAACUCAUGAGCCAGUUGAGCCAGCACAACAAGCUGGAGCCAGGCUAACCAGGACAUUUCUUCUCAUGGCAGAAAGUCUGGCUGGGCUAGCUUUUAUCUUGUGCUCCCUGGAACCCUGACUGGAUGAUUUCUGAAGUCGAGCUGGAGCCCAUCUAGAGGGAAGGUGAAACUUCUCCUCAGCAUGCAGGGCCU
rnacentral:lncRNA from 1 species